GACGAACGCUGGCGGCGUGCUUAACACAUGCAAGUCGAACGGAAAGGCCCUGCUUUUGUGGGGUGCUCGAGUGGCGAACGGGUGAGUAACACGUGAGUAACCUGCCCUUGACUUUGGGAUAACUUCAGGAAACUGGGGCUAAUACCGGAUAGGAGCUCCUGCUGCAUGGUGGGGGUUGGAAAGUUUCGGCGGUUGGGGAUGGACUCGCGGCUUAUCAGCUUGUUGGUGGGGUAGUGGCUUACCAAGGCUUUGACGGGUAGCCGGCCUGAGAGGGUGACCGGCCACAAUGGGACUGAGAUACGGCCCAGACUCCUACGGGAGGCAGCAGUGGGGAAUAUUGCACAAUGGGCGGAAGCCUGAUGCAGCAACGCCGCGUGCGGGAUGACGGCCGUCGGGUUGUAAACCGCUUUCGCCUGUGACGAAGCGUGAGUGACGGUAAUGGGUAAAGAAGCACCGGCUAACUACGUG
rnacentral:rRNA from 1 species